rnacentral:rRNA from 1 species
UCAGGAUGAACGCUGGCGGCGUGCCUAACACAUGCAAGUCGAACGGAUUUAUAACGAAACCUAGUGAAUUAUAAGUUAGUGGCGAACGGGUGAGUAACGCGUGGAAAACCUGCCGUAUACUGGGGGAUAACACUUAGAAAUAGGUGCUAAUACCGCAUAAGCGCACAGCUUCGCAUGAAGCAGUGUGAAAAACUCCGGUGGUAUACGAUGGUUCCGCGUCUGAUUAGCUAGUUGGUGAGGUAAAAGCCCACCAAGGCGACGAUCAGUAGCCGGCCUGAGAGGGUGAACGGCCACAUUGGGACUGAGACACGGCCCAGACUCCUACGGGAGGCAGCAGUGGGGGAUAUUGCACAAUGGGGGAAACCCUGAUGCAGCGACGCCGCGUGAGUGAAGAAGUAUUUCGGUACGUAAAGCUCUAUCAGCAGGGAAGAAAAAAAGUCCACAGGACUUUGGACGGUACCUGACUAAGAAGCCCCGGCUAACUACGUGCCAGCAGCCGCGGUAAUACGUAGG